rnacentral:rRNA from 1 species
UACGGAGGGUGCGAGCGUUGUCCGGAAUUACUGGGCGUAAAGCGUGCGCAGGCGGUUGUGCAAGACAGAUGUGAAAUCCCCGGGCUUAACCUGGGAACUGCAUUUGUGACUGCACGGCUAGAGUGUGUCAGAGGGGGGUAGAAUUCCACGUGUAGCAGUGAAAUGCGUAGAGAUGUGGAGGAAUACCGAUGGCGAAGGCAGCCCCCUGGGAUAACACUGACGCUCAUGCACGAAAGCGUGGGGAGCAAACAGG